rnacentral:rRNA from 1 species
GAUGAACGCUAGCUACAGGCUUAACACAUGCAAGUCGAGGGGCAGCAUUUUAGUUUGCUUGCAAACUGAAGAUGGCGACCGGCGCACGGGUGAGUAACACGUAUCCAACCUGCCGAUAACUCCGGAAUAGCCUUUCGAAAGAAAGAUUAAUACCGGAUAGCAUACGAAUAUCGCAUGAUAUUUUUAUUAAAGAAUUUCGGUUAUCGAUGGGGAUGCGUUCCAUUAGUUUGUUGGCGGGGUAACGGCCCACCAAGACUACGAUGGAUAGGGGUUCUGAGAGGAAGGUCCCCCACAUUGGAACUGAGACACGGUCCAAACUCCUACGGGAGGCAGCAGUGAGGAAUAUUGGUCAAUGGGCGAGAGCCUGAACCAGCCAAGUAGCGUGAAGGAUGAAGGCUCUAUGGGUCGUAAACUUCUUUUAUAUGGGAAUAAAGUUUUCCACGUGUGGAAUUUUGUAUGUACCAUAUGAAUAAGGAUCGGCUAACUCCGUGCCAGCAGCCGCGGUAAUACGGAGGAUCCGAGCGUUAUCCGGAUUUAUUGGGUUUAAAGGGAGCGUAGGUGGAUUGUUAAGUCAGUUGUGAAAGUUUGCGGCUCAACCGUAAAAUUGCAGUUGAAACUGGCAGUCUUGAGUACAGUAGAGGUGGGCGGAAUUCGUGGUGUAGCGGUGAAAUGCUUAGAUAUCACGAAGAACUCCGAUUGCGAAGGCAGCUCACUAGACUGUCACUGACACUGAUGCUCGAAAGUGUGGGUAUCAA